rnacentral:misc_RNA from 1 species
CACCCUUAACGACCAUUGGGGCGCUGCGCGCCCCUGUGCCGCGCUUCACGGCCUUGCAGCGAUUCUCCGCACUUUCUCUGUUUGUCUAUGCCAUAUCCCCUCGCCUGCACCCAUGUGCAAACGCUUGACAACCUCACGCACAAAACCCACUCACACGCGGACCCUCACCCCCUUCCCUCAGCGACAUCAUGCAGGCGUACGAGGAGCUGAAGCAGCUGCAUCGAAAGUUGCGCAGCCUGCGGCACCUUCUUGCCCUAGGUGAGUGGGACAUGCAUACCAUGAUGCCGCCGAAGGGCGCGACGGCUCGCGCGAACACGCUUGCGGAGCUGGAGGCACACGUGCGCCAGCUUCACACAGCGCCACGCGUUGCGCUCCUCUUGAAGGAGGCGCUGCUGGUUAAGGACGAACUCGCCGAGGUGGACCGCGCGGACCUCCGCGAAAUGGUGCGCCUGCACGAGCUUGCGUCGCAGCUGCCGGAGGAGCUGCUGCGGCGCAAGACGCGGCUGGCAACGCUGGCGCAGCAGCUGUGGGUAAAAUGCCGUGCGGAAAACGACAUUGCUGCGUGGCUGCCGACGCUGCAGGAGCUGGUGGACCUCGAGCGCGAGGAGGGCUGCCUUCGAGCCGGCACAAGCGGGAAGUCCCCGUACGGCGCGCUGCUCGGCGCCAACGAGCCCGGGAUGACGGUUGCGAAGCUGGACGCAAUCUACGCGGACAUCAAGUCUUGGCUGCCAGCGCUGUACAAGGAGGUGCUGGAGAACCGAAAGGACGUGGGCGCGAGCCUCACUGAGCUGCAGACGCCGAUCUCGAAGGAAAAGCAGAUUGCUCUUGGCCGGCAGCUGAUGACGGACGUGUGGAGGUACGACUGGGGCGCGGGUCGCUACGACGAGGCGCCGCACCCGUUUGGUGGGAUGCUGAAGGAGUACGUGCGGAUGACGUACUACUGGCCGCCGGACAACUACACCAAGUGCCUGCUGGCGACGAUCCACGAGACAGGAAACGCCAAAUACGAGCAGAAAUGCGGGCCGCGCGAGCUGCUUGGGCAGCCGGUGUGCGAGGCGCGAUCCGGCGGCAUCCACGAGACGCAGUCGCUGCUGGCGGAGAGGAUGAUAGCGAAGUCCGCUGCGUUCGCCGAGUACCUGGCGCCGCUGCUGGAGCUGCACCUUGGCGCGCAGCCAGGGCUGACGGUGAAGAACGUGCGCAAGAUCAACCAGCUGGUGAAGCCGAGCUGCAUCCGGAAGCUCGCAGACGAGGUGGGUUACUCUCUCUCUCUCUCCACGUGAUCCUGCGCUACGAGAUCGAGCGCAACCUGAUCGAGGGGCGCCUGGAGGCGGUGGACGUGCCGCGGGUGUGGGAUGAAAAGAUGAAGGAGUACAUGGGCCUGGAGACGCUUGGGCGCGACGACCUCGGGUGCCUAAAGGGCAUUCACUGGGAUGCCGGCUACUGGGCAGGCUUUCCCGCCUACACGAUCGGCACCGUCGCCCAGUGUAUCCUUCCUCCCCGCCCCCAAGCUCGACGAGCUGCUGCUGAAUGGUGCUCGCGGCUCUCCUCUGUUCUGUAGACACGCGACCAGUUCCCUGGCGUGUCGUGCUGCCUUUGCGCGGCGCUGUGCUGCUUGCACCUCUUCAUCGCAUGCUCCCCCGACCGCAGAUGCUGACGCGUGCGGCUUCUCUUGCGCUUCCGUUUUUUUCCCUCUAUGUGGUCUUUUCGCUUCUUUUCGCACGGUGUGUUUUCUGCGCACGCGCACUCCUGUUUUCCCUUCUUUUUUUUUGGGCUCGGAAAUUGUUGAGGAGCAGAUCCGUAUCUUCUCCUCUCCUGUCUCUGCAUGCACACGGUGGCGCAUGCGCAAUGGCGGCAGUGGUCGCAGUACCUACCGACGUCACGCCGAGAGCAUGACUACCUGACUGCCACCGCUUCCGGACCAGGUCGCGCUACCAUGCACACGGGCAAGCUGAAUCCUCGCUAUCUAGCUGUUGCGUUGGCUGGCGUGCGCUUGUAGGGCGAGCACGACAUCUAUAAGCUCGUUCACCUCAAGCGUAACGCCCCCCCCCUCGCCCACAACAACG